ACUCAGAGACAGCGAGGGAGAGCGCAGUGACUGCAGCUGAAGCUCAGAGACAGCGAGGUAGAGCGCAGUGACUGCAGCUGAAACUCAGAGACAGCGAGGGAGAGCGCAGUGACUGCAGCUGAAGCUCAGAGACAGCGAGGGAGAGCGCAGUGACUGCAGCUGAAGCUCAGAGACAGCGAGGGAGAGCGCAGUGACUGCAGCUGAAGCUCAGAGACAGCGAGGUAGAGCGCAGUGACUGCAGCUGAAGCUCAGAGACAGCGAGGUAGAGCGCAGUGACUGCAGCCCAAGCUCAGAGACAGCGAGGUAGAGCGCAGUGACUGCAGCUGAAGCUCAGAGACAGCGAGGUAGAGCGCAGUGACUGCAGCUGAAACUCAGAGACAGUGAGGUAGAGCGCAGUGACUGCAGCUGAAGCUCAGAGACAGUGAGGUGUAGAGCGCAGUGACUGCAGCCCAAACUCAGAGACAGCGAGGGAGAGCGCAGUGACUGCAGCUGAAGCUCAGAGACAGCGAGGGAGAGCGCAGUGACUUCAGCUGAAGCUCAGAGACAGCGAGGGAGAGUGCAGUGACU